GCUUUAGUAAAUAAAACAGUUUAUGUAAGUUUCAAUAGUGAGCUUUUGGGCACAAUGAUGAAAGAUAUUAGCUAUUGAAUAUUGCCUAAAAGAUCUUACCAAUAAAUCAAGCAAUAUUUCACAUUCACCAGAAGAAAUACAAUCAUUGCAUUUAAAGAGUAUAUCAGAUCGAAAACUUUCAACUGAGAGUGCUAUUCCCUUAGGUGCAAAUAAUAUUGAUUGUGAAGUGAACUCUGACAGUAAUCUAAAAAUUUCUGAUUCUGAAUCUUACCCAUUAGAGUCAUCAGAUUCUGAAACAAUUGAUGAUGUUAACAAUGAAGAACUAAAAAAUGAUUUGAUGCAGUGGUCAGUCAAGUUUGCUAUAACUGAUGAAGCAUCAGCAUCUUUGUUAAAAAUUUUGGGUAAAUUGUUUCCUGAAUUGCCAAAGGAUCCAUGCACUCUACGUCAAAGUCUUUUGUACCUGUUACUAAUAUAACUGGAGGACAGUAUUGUCAUUUUGGUAUUAGACAAGAUAAUAGCUGUGGCAAGUAAAGGAGGCCAGACUUUAAAGGAGGCUUUCCAAAGAAUGUCCUUUGCGUUAUUCACAAUAACCUCUGCUGUAAACUUAACUGGUCUGGUAUUACCAUAAAUGACAAUGAAUAUAACUUUGUAAAACAAAGACUUACACUUGCUUGAAAGAGCUGUAAAAAGAAAUCCUGCAACAACUUCAGCAACUGAAUCAGAUUUUCAAUAUGAGGUUGGGCGUUUUUUGCGUGGAGCAUCAGACCGCAAUGGCGGACAAAAAGUUAGGCAAGACCAAAAAAACAAACAGGCCAAGAAAAAAGUGAUGCCUACUUCAAGUUUUCCAAAGCCAUUACAUAAAGAGGGCUUUUUUUAGUUCAGAAGAUAAAUAACAUUGUUAAAUUAAAUAAGCAUCUUUAUUUACAAACUUGUUUUCUUUAUUUUACAAUAUUUAAUAUAUUUUUAAAUAUUUUAAUUUUUAAACUCAAUAGAGUAAAGUUUUUGUGCAAUGAGUAUUACUGUUUCUGUGUUUUUCAUAUUCAUUUCCUUUUACAGUAACCACUUGUAUAUGAGAUUGUAGAUGAGAAUUUAAGUCGUGAUAUUGAAUCUUACCAGAGAAUAAAGAAACCGUUUACCUCAACCAAAGUUAUAUUUCAUAGAAUUAUGUUGACCAUGAUCCAAGUAUUGCCAUGGAUGUGCACUUGUGUUUUAGGCUAAUGGUUUGCAAAAGGUUCACCAUUGCCCUUAAGUUGCUGUGGGUUUUACGGUUUUACUUCCAACCUGGCAUAUAAAUGCACUUAGUAUCUGAAGUUAUUUGUCAAUAACUGGUGAUCAGACUAUUUCAAACGAACACGUUUUUAAGGGCUGAGAAGGUGAAAGUUAGAAGUCUGCAGACUGCAACGUAAAUCAAUUUUCAACACAUGGCUUCCUGAAUAUAUUUAUUUUUCGAUUGAAAUUAGAAUAAACUGAACUAAUUGA